CCCGCCCGGAUUAGUGGCAGCUUGGCCUGACUCUCCGGGGCUCCUUCCCCCGCCCCCGCCUGCUGCCCUCCCCUGGGCAGGGGGCUGUUCCACCCGAGGGGCACUGUGCUUGCCCAGGGUGCUGGAGGAGGAAACCGGCGGAGCAGCUUCCCCACUCUCAGUUGCGCGUCUGGCGAUGGCGAUGAGAGGUCCUGCUGCGCUGCCCG
rnacentral:lncRNA from 1 species